rnacentral:rRNA from 1 species
UACGUAGGGUCCGAGCGUUAUCCGGAAUCAUUGGGUUUAAAGGGUCCGUAGGCGGUUUGGUAAGUCAGUGGUGAAAGCCCAUCGCUCAACGGUGGAACGGCCAUUGAUACUGCCAGACUUGAAUUAUUAGGAAGUAACUAGAAUAUGUAGUGUAGCGGUGAAAUGCUUAGAGAUUACAUGGAAUACCAAUUGCGAAGGCAGGUUACUACUAAUGGAUUGACGCUGAUGGACGAAAGCGUGGGUAGCGAACAGG